UCAUCAGCCAGUGAGCGUGUGG
rnacentral:miRNA from 1 species